GAAAUGCGAUAAGUAAUGUGAAUUGCAGAAUUCAGUGAAUCAUCGAAUCUUUGAACGCACAUUGCGCCCCUUGGUAUUCCGAGGGGCAUGCCUGUUCGAGCGUCAUUUCAAACCUCAAGCUCUGCUUGGUAUUGGGUCUGGCUCCCCUCCGGGCGGCCGUCCUGAAAGUCAGCGGCGAGGCCGUCCAGCUUCAGGCGUAGUAGAACCUUUCGUCUCGCCUUGCGAGCUUGGGCUGCGCUCGCCGGAUAACCCCCCCAUCCAAAAGGUUGACCUCGGAUCAGGUAGGGAUACCCGCUGAACUUAAGC
rnacentral:misc_RNA from 1 species